GGUGGCUCAUUGGUAGAGCACUUGCCUUGUAAACAUGAGGCCCUGGGUUCCAUUCCUCAGCACCA
rnacentral:tRNA from 1 species